UACGAAGGGGGCUAGCGUUGCUCGGAAUCACUGGGCGUAAAGGGCGCGUAGGCGGCCGAUUAAGUCGGGGGUGAAAGCCUGUGGCUCAACCACAGAAUUGCCUUCGAUACUGGUUGGCUUGAGACCGGAAGAGGACAGCGGAACUGCGAGUGUAGAGGUGAAAUUCGUAGACAUUCGCAAGAACACCAGUGGCGAAGGCGGCUGUCUGGUCCGGUUCUGACGCUGAGGCGCGAAAGCGUGGGGAGCAAACAGG
rnacentral:rRNA from 1 species